CUCCUACGGGAGGCAGCAGUAGGGAAUCUUCCACAAUGGACGCAAGUCUGAUGGAGCAACGCCGCGUGAGUGAAGAAGGUCUUCGGAUCGUAAAACUCUGUUGUUAGAGAAGAACACGAGUGAGAGUAACUGUUCAUUCGAUGACGGUAUCUAACCAGCAAGUCACGGCUAACUACGUGCCAGCAGCCGCGGUAAUACGUAGGUGGCAAGCGUUGUCCGGAUUUAUUGGGCGUAAAGGGAACGCAGGCGGUCUUUUAAGUCUGAUGUGAAAGCCUUCGGCUUAACCGGAGUAGUGCAUUGGAAACUGGAAGACUUGAGUGCAGAAGAGGAGAGUGGAACUCCAUGUGUAGCGGUGAAAUGCGUAGAUAUAUGGAAGAACACCAGUGGCGAAAGCGGCUCUC
rnacentral:rRNA from 2 species